rnacentral:sRNA from 20 species
GCCAGGCCGACUGAGGAGCGUCGGCUGCGUCGCCACGGUGACGUAGCCCGUCCUACCCCGAAGCCCGCUUCGGGUUGCACCACCAUGUCAUGUCAUUUCUGCCGGAUCGGUGCCGAUCCGGCAGCUUUUGCCAUCGCGUGACUGACUGAUUACGGUUGCCGUCACGCGCGACUUGUUAAAAUUCGGAUAAUCUCAGCGGAAUAGACAGCCGGUUCAGCGUCUGUCUGCAUUGUUCAUCCAGACUUCGCAUAUGACCCAGCAACGCACUCUCAAGAACACCAUUCGCGCCACCGGCGUCGGCCUGCACAGCGGCGACAAGGUGU